rnacentral:rRNA from 1 species
GACGUAGGGCGCGAGCGUUGUCCGGAAUCACUGGGCGUAAAGGGCGCGUAGGCGGUCCGCUAAGUGUGUGGUGAAAGCUCGGGGCUCAACCCCGAGUCGGCCGUGCAAACUGGUGGACUGGAGCAUGUCAGAGGCAGGCGGAAUUCCGGGUGUAGCGGUGGAAUGCGUAGAGAUGGGGGAGAACACUCGUGGCGAAGGCGGCCAGCUAGACCAGUUCUGACACUGAGGCGCGACAGCGUGGGGAGCAAACAGG